GAGAAGUACGCACCACGAAGAUGUUGCUACAGAUUGACCCGUGAAUCGCUUGGUAUGCUGCCCUCUUCUGUAGCGCCCGUACGUGUUAUCCAUGAGGAAAUCUAGUGCGGCCAAUGAGCACCCUACCUCGUGUAUCACGCGCCCCCUGGGUGCAUGCAUGUGCCGAUGUGCUAUCUCUUCUCUGCAGAUACCUCAUAGCUGCAUGGCCGCAUCUGUGGAUCUCCCCUAUAAAUACGCAUACUUGUAGUAAGUUAUAUGCAGAUAUCAACCAACUCCAGCGAUCAAUUAAUAAGCUCGAGCUUCAUUUAGCUACAGCGGUGCCAGAUCGACGAUGAGCUCCACAGACGCCACCGCCCCCGGAGGCCUCUUCGUUGAGGAGUCGAAGUCGUGGCCGGAGGUGGUGGGGAAGUCCAUCAAGGAGGCCAGGGAGAUCAUUCUCAAGGACAAGCCUGAAGCCGACAUCGUCGUCCUCCCAGCAGGGGCACCGGUCACCCUGGACUUGAGGCCAAACCGUGUGCGCAUCUUUGUUGACACCGUUGCCGAAACACCCUUCACCGGCUAGGCAGCUUUGCUGGCAUGAAGGAAUGUAUGCCUGCACCAUGCAUGCUCAUGAAUACGUUUUUAUCAAUGGAUGAAUAAAUGCAGGCAUGUCAAGCAUUAACAUGGCAUGGCAUGGAUCUCUA